rnacentral:rRNA from 1 species
UGAGUUUGAUCCUGGCUCAGAAGGAACCCUAGCUAUAUGCUUAACACAUGCAAGUCGAACGUUGUUUUCGGGGAGCUGGGCAGAAGGAAAAGAGGCUCCUAGCGUGAAGGUUGCUUGUCUCGCCCAGGAGGUGGGAACAGUUGAAAACAAAGUGGCGAACGGGUGCGUAAUGCGUGGGAAUCUGCCGAACAGUUCGGGCCCAAUCCUGAAGAAAGCUAAAAAGCGCUGUUUGAUGAGCCUGCGUAGUAUUAGGUAGUUGGUCAGGUAAAGGCUGACCAAGCC